ensembl:lncRNA
CUUGGACUCCCUCUCUGUCCUUCCACUCCAGACCUGCGCAAUCCUUGAACAUUUUCCAUGUUCUCUUCCCUCCUCCAGAGGGAGGAGGGUAUAUGCCAAAGCCAGAGCCUCGUCCCUCUCAUCUGUCCUCAUUCUCCUCAACCUGUCAGCGGCAUUUGCCAUCGUGAACCACCAGAUCCUCCUGCCAUUCUCGCCGUACUUGGCAUUGCUGAAUCUGCCCUAUCCUGGUUCACAUCCUACCUGAAGAAUCGCAUCAGGUAACAUGGAAUGGCUCCUUGUCAUAACCCUGCACUCUUGACACUGGUGUCCCUCAAGGCUCUGUACUGGGACCCCCUCUGUUCUCCCUCUAUACCAUCACAUCACAGUUUUUCCUAUCACUGCUACGCUGACGACACUCAGCUAUUCCUAUUUCCCUUACUCUGACCCUGAUUGCAACAUGGAAAGCGGAAUGUCUGGCAGACAUCAGCACUUGGAUGACUGUCAAUCACCUGAGGCUUAACCUCAACAAGUCUGAGCUACUCCUAAUGCCAGGGAAAGAUUGCCCACACAUGGACUUACUGUCACUGUCGAGAACAUUACUGCAUCUCCUUCUCUAACUGCCAGAAACCUCGGUGUGGUACUGGACAUUCAGUUAUGCUGCACCGCAAACAUCACCGCAGUGGCCCGAUCCUGCAGAUUUGCCCUUUACAACAUCCGCAGGAUCCGGCCCUUCCUCACGAGGAAAGCAGCUCAGCUCCUGGUCGAAGCGCUCAUCAUCUCCUGCCGCGACUACUGCAACUCGCUCCUGGCUGAACACCCUGCCUCCAAGAUUAAACCUUUGCAGCGUAUCCAGAACGCUGCAGCGCGCCUCGUGUUCAACCUACCCAAGUCCUCCCAUUUGACCCCCCCCUCUUCCAGGAACUUCACUGGCUUCCUGUAGUAACUCGCAGAUUCAAGAUGAUGGUACUGGCAUACAAGGUGGUCAAUGGAACUGGCCCUGCCUACCUCCAAGCGUUGGUCAAACCACAUCGCAGCUCGGGCGCUCCACUCAAGCUACCUCAGUCGGCUACCGCCAUUGCUAACAGCAAGCAAAGGUCGAUCAUCAAAGUCCCAACUCUUCUCUGUUUUGGCACCGCUGUGGUGGAACGAGAUCCCUGCCGAUGUCAGGACCGCAGAGUCGCUCACCAGCUUCCGCAAAAGACUCAAAACUCACCUGUUCAGAGUUCACCUAGACCUAUGCGAUAUUUAUUCAUAGUACUUAAUUGUGUAGCAUCUAAGUCACCUGGUGUCGACUAAGAUUGAACAAACAAACAUCGGUUGAGACUAACGUCGGUUCAGACUAACGCCGGUUCAGACUAACGCCGGUUCAGACUAACGCCGGUUCAGACUAACGCCGGUUCAGACUAACGCCGGUUCAGACUAACGCCGGUUCAGACUUGUGUCUCUGGUCCCUUUUGUUCAAUAGUCUUAGAGAACGUUUGACCUAAAGCCGUGUGUAGUGGUGGAGGAGCUCCAUCAGAACGUGAACCUUGGGCCUCACCGUGUUCCAGCAGACUGCCGGCUGCCUUGGGGCCCUCAGCCUCCAGCAGACAGGUCUCUGCCUUGGGGCCCUCAGCCUCCAGCAGAGAGCCGGUUGCCUUGGGGCCCUCAGCCUCCAGCAGAGAGCCGGUUGCCUUGGGGCCCUCAGCCUCCAGCAGACAGGUCUCUGCCUUGGGGCCCUCAGCCUCCAGCAGAGAGCCGGUUGCCUUGGGGCCCUCAGCCUCCCGCAGAGAGCCGGCUGCCUUGGGGCCCUCAGCCUCCAGCAGACAGGUCUCUGCCUUGGGGCCCUCAGCUUCCAGCAGACAGGUUUCUGCCUUGGGGCCCUCAGCCUCCAGCAGAGAGCCGGUUGCCUUGGGGCCCUCAGCCUCCAGCAGAGAGCCGGUUGCCUUGGGGCCCUCAGCCUCCAGCAGAGAGCCGGUUGCCUUGGGGCCCUCAGCCUCCAGCAGAGAGCCGGCUGCCUUGGGGCCCUCAGCCUCCAGCAGGGCGAACUCCGCCCUGAGCCCGUUGGGGAGGGCUGCUGGCCCCGCCCCCUGCCCCCCCUGGUCGGCAACCUUCCCCUGGGGGGUGAGGUCCAGGAGUGGGCUCAGAGGAUGGUCCUCCCAGGAGGGCGGGGGCAGGCUUUCCCCUGUUGGGGGGCUGGGCGACUGCGCCUCCUUCAGAGUCUCAGGCACUUCCUGCAUGCCUGCCUGGGGGGUCCCCACGCCCCCUACUGCCUGAUGCUGCUCGGCGGCGGCCAUUUUAUCCUCUGGAUCCUCCCCCUGUACCUCCUCUCCCUCCUUGCUGCUCUCCCACGCUGCUGCUGGGGCCGCUGGCUCUCGGGGCGGACCACGUGGUCUGGGGGGGGGUCUGGGGUCCACUGGGG